GCAGCUCGCUGACACCUCACUGAAUGACACGUUUUUCUUUAAUGUCAUCUAAAUUUUUUUUCAUUGCCGAAAUAUUUAAGAAACUAUCUGAUUCAUUAGUGAUAAAUUGUUCCAAAAUUUCACAUCUCUUUGCUUUUGGUGAUUUUCAAAGUGUUUAAGAUGAAUUCUCAAGUGUAAUACUUUGGCAAGACUUCGUGAUAGAUGUUCAUCUAUAUUAAUCAAUGAAUUUGCUAGAAGCUGACUCAUCGAAACCAGUGGAGAGGGUCCUGCAGAAAGAUGAGACUCAAACGAGAUAACUCGGCAAAUCGAGGCAAUAAUUCUUUCGCCAGUGGUAACGAACGCAAAAGAUUGUGGUUGAGGGUACGAUGUCAAGUACAAAUGGACAAGUCGCAACGAACGAGGAGUUUAAGAAGAACGAGUGUGUCUUUCAGUUGCUGAUGCCAUCUGAUUGGUUGGAAAAUUAUCUGGUUCACCCUGAGGUUUAAUAGAAAUUUACGAAUUGCUGUUCAAUCGAGGAUUUUAUAGUGAAUAUAUUAUUGGGAUACUGGAGAAACAGACAGAAGAAUGAAAAAGUCUGUAGCAUUUUAAUAAUCCUACAUUAUUAAAAAUUGCUUAAAAUUUCAUGUGAUAUGGGUCUGAAAAUGGAGAAUUAUCAAAAUAAAUAAUCAGUUUGAAAUAUCUCAAAGAGCCAUGAAGUCACUCCUUUUUUUGACGAAGUAUAACUGUCUAGCUCCAAUG